GUGGUUGUGAUACUUCAAAAGUUGGCAAAAAAGAAAAAAAAUAGAAAGAAAAUAAAAUAAAAUAAAAUAAAUGGAAAAAGAAAAGAAGGAUGACAAUACAUAUUCUUUCAGGGGGAAAAUUAAAUGAUAAAAGAGAAGAUAAAUAGUUGCAAUGUGUUGUUUGAAAAUGAAUGAAGUUUUUGAUAGUUCAACUCCUACAGUUUUUUUUUUCAAUUUUCUUUUGACCCUUUGAAUUUUAGCCUAGUACCCCUUAGAAUUU
rnacentral:lncRNA from 1 species